CAGGCUUAACACAUGCAAGUCGAGGGGCAGCAUGGUCUUAGCUUGCUAAGGCCGAUGGCGACCGGCGCACGGGUGAGUAACGCGUAUCCAACCUGCCUUACACUCUUGGACAGCCUUCUGAAAGGGAGAUUAAUACAAGAUGUUAUCAUGAGUAAGCAUUUUCACAUGAUUAAAGGUUUACCGGUGUAAGAUGGGGAUGCGUUCCAUUAGAUAGUAGGCGGGGUAACGGCCCACCUAGUCUUCGAUGGAUAGGGGUUCUGAGAGGAAGGUCCCCCACAUUGGAACUGAGACACGGUCCAAACUCCUACGGGAGGCAGCAGUGAGGAAUAUUGGUCAAUGGACGAGAGUCUGAACCAGCCAAGUAGCGUGAAGGAUGAAGGUUCUAUGGAUUGUAAACUUCUUUUAUACGGGAAUAAACGGAUCCACGUGUGGAUUUUUGCAUGUACCGUAUGAAUAAGGAUCGGCUAACUCCGUGCCAGCAGCCGCGGUAAUACGGAGGAUCCGAGCAUUAUCCGGAUUUAUUGGGUUUAAAGGGAGCGUAGAUGGGUUGUUAAGUCAGUUGUGAAAGUUUGCGGCUCAACCGUAAAAUUGCAAUUGAUACUGGCAGUCUUGAGUACAGUUGAGGUAGGCGGAAUUCGUGGUGUAGCGGUGAAAUGCUUAGAUAUCACGAAGAACUCCGAUUGCGAAGGCAGCUUACUAACCUGUAACUGACAUUGAUGCUCGAAAGUGUGGGUAUCAAACAGGAUUAGAUACCCUGGUAGUCCACACGGUAAACGAUGAAUACUCGCUGUAGGCGAUAUACAGUCUGCGGCCAAGCGAAAGCAUUAAGUAUUCCACCUGGGGAGUACGCCGGCAACGGUGAAACUCAAAGGAAUUGACGGGGGCCCGCACAAGCGGAGGAACAUGUGGUUUAAUUCGAUGAUACGCGAGGAACCUUACCCGGGCUUAAAUUGCAACCGAAUAUGGCGGAAACGCUAUAGCUAGCAAUAGCGGUUGUGAAGGUGCUGCAUGGUUGUCGUCAGCUCGUGCCGUGAGGUGUCGGCUUAAGUGCCAUAACGAGCGCAACCCUUGCCGAUAGUUACUAACAGGUCAUGCUGAGGACUCUGUCGGGACUGCCAUCGUAAGAUGUGAGGAAGGUGGGGAUGACGUCAAAUCAGCACGGCCCUUACGUCCGGGGCUACACACGUGUUACAAUGGGGGGUACAGAGGGCUGCUACCACGCAAGUGGAUGCCAAUCCCAAAAACCUCUCUCAGUUCGGAUUGAAGUCUGCAACCCGACUUCAUGAAGCUGGAUUCGCUAGUAAUCGCGCAUCAGCCACGGCGCGGUGAAUACGUUCCCGGGCCUUGUACACACCGCCCGUCAAGCCAUGGGAGCCGGGGGUACCUGAAGUGCGUAACCGCAAGGAGCGCCCUAGGGUAAAACUGGUGAC
rnacentral:rRNA from 1 species